rnacentral:rRNA from 1 species
UUUUUUUUUUUAGUAUAUGAAAUUUUACUUUGAGAAAAUUAGAGUGCUUAAAGCAGGCAUAUGCCUUGAAUACUCCAGCAUGGAAUAAUAUUAAAGAUUUUUAUCUUUUUUAUUGGUUCUAAGAUAAGAAUAAUGAUUAAUAGGGACAGUUGGGGGCAUUUGUAUUUAACAGUCAGAGGUGAAAUU